rnacentral:rRNA from 1 species
UACGUAGGGGGCGAGCGUUGUCCGGAUUUAUUGGGCGUAAAGAGCUCGUAGGCGGUUCGGUAAGUCGAAUGUGAAAUCUCCACGCUCAACGUGGAGGGGUCAUUCGAAACUGCCGUGACUUGAGUACGGUAGGGGAGUGUGGAAUUCCCGGUGUAGCGGUGAAAUGCGCAGAGAUCGGGAGGAACACCCGUAGCGAAGGCGGCACUCUGGGCCGAUACUGACGCUGAGGAGCGAAAGCGUGGGGAGCAACA